CAUGGUGCUCUUUCUCGAAGGGGCCCCAGUGACAGAGCCAUUCACAAGCACGGGCCAUAAAUGACCGAGUUGAACACCACAUUAAGCACUGCAUUCUCAGAAAUCUGAACUGACUGGAGCACAGCCAAAAUGCCAGGAACAAAAGGUAAUAAGUCGGACAAGAAGUCAGCUACCAAGCAACCUCAGAGUCCUAAAGAGCAGCCGAAGAAAGCUGAUCAGAAAGGAGAUGAUAACAAGAAGCAAGGAGGACAGCCGAAGGGAGAGAAGCAAUAACUUCCAGGCAUUUGUGAAGAUGGCUUUGGAGACACUGCUUGGGUCCUGCCG